UACGAAGGGGGCUAGCGUUGCUCGGAAUUACUGGGCGUAAAGCGCACGUAGGCGGACUUUUAAGUCGGGGGUGAAAUCCUGGAGCUCAACUCCAGAACUGCCUUCGAAACUGAAAGUCUUGAGUUCGGGAGAGGUGAGUGGAACUGCGAUUGUAGAGGUGAAAUUCGUAGAUAUUCGCAAGAACACCAGUGGCGAAGGCGUCUCACUGGCCCGAUACUGACGCUGAGGUGCGAAAGCGUGGGGAGCAAACAGG
rnacentral:rRNA from 1 species